UACAGAGGGUGCGAGCGUUAAUCGGAAUUACUGGGCGUAAAGCGCGCGUAGGCGGUUAUUUAAGUCUGAUGUGAAAUCCCUGAGCUCAACUUAGGAAUGGCAUCAGAUACUGGGUAGCUAGAGUGUGGGAGAGGAAGGUAGAAUUCCAGGUGUAGCGGUGAAAUGCGUAGAGAUCUGGAGGAAUACCGAUGGCGAAGGCAGCCUUCUGGCCUGACACUGACGCUGAGGUGCGAAAGCAUGGGGAGCAAACAGG
rnacentral:rRNA from 1 species